AUGCACUUACACACAUGCAGGCAAUACAGUCAUGUACACAAUAUUAAAAUAAUAAAAUUUACAAAAAAAGAUUAACUAGUCAAGACUGAAAUUUCUAGUCAUCUGUUAGAAGAUCCACCUUUCCAGUUUCAUUGGUCAAUCAUCUGGUCAUAGGACCACCCUUAGGAAGGUGGGGUCACUUUAUAUUAUGCUAAAUAGAUGGGCAGAAUACCUAGUGUGUUAACGAAAUAGUGAACUUUUCCUCCCUAGAAUCCUGCCUGUAGCGAAGUGCUUCUGGACUGGCCACAGACAUGUAGCUCUCUCAGUACCCCAUUCCUGGAAACCACACUGAGGAUGUGACCAAAACCUGGAGGGACCCAGACAACUGGAAUGGGAACUGGACUGAACAGCUCAUCUUCCCCUGCCCUCUUCCAUCCACCAAAGCCUUUUUAAUUCCACGGCAGUGAGGUUUAAUGGUACCCCGACUCCCAGGGACCCCUCCUUCUCUAUAGGAGCUCUGUCUUCAUUCUUUCUUCUAAGCUCCUGAUAAUAAAAUACUCCUUCCUACAACU